rnacentral:rRNA from 1 species
UACGUAGGGGGCUAGCGUUGUCCGGAAUCAUUGGGCGUAAAGCGCGUGUAGGCGGUUCGGUAAGUCCGCUGUGAAAGUCGGGGGCUCAACCCUCGGAUGCCGGUGGAUACUGUCGGACUAGAGUACGGAAGAGGCGAGUGGAAUUCCUGGUGUAGCGGUGAAAUGCGCAGAUAUCAGGAGGAACACCGAUUGCGAAGGCAGCUCGCUGGGACGUUACUGACGCUGAGACGCGAAAGCGUGGGGAGCGAACAGG